GGCCAGUUAGCUCAGUGGUUAGAGCGUGGUGCUAAUAACGUCAAAAUUACGGGUUCGAGCCCCGUACAGGCCC